UAAGUGCAAGACAGACAAUGCAGG
rnacentral:piRNA from 1 species